UACGUAGGGUGCAAGCGUUAAUCGGAAUUACUGGGCGUAAAGCGUGCGCAGGCGGUUUUGUAAGUUUGUCGUGAAAGCCCCGGGCUCAACCUGGGAAUUGCGAAGAAGACUGCAAGGCUUGAAUCUGGCAGAGGGGGGUAGAAUUCCACGUGUAGCAGUGAAAUGCGUAGAGAUGUGGAGGAACACCGAUGGCGAAGGCAGCCCCCUGGGUCAAGAUUGACGCUCAUGCACGAAAGCGUGGGGAGCAAACAGG
rnacentral:rRNA from 1 species